rnacentral:lncRNA from 1 species
CGAAGUCGUAAUUUCAAAUCUGAGUAAUGUACGAAGUGUGAUACAUGUCUCAUAACUUUAAAUCUAAAUAUUUGAAUAUAUGAUGGCUAAAUACCUAUUCGUGUAUUAAAAGACGUCACUCUGUUCACUUAAUAAAGGUUACAUGGAUUUCUAAAACUUUAACUUAAGUAGUAGCAACGACAAAUCUAUUUUUCAUCUAUGUGUAUGUCCACACAUUAGUCAGGUUGUAACUUGGGGGUUUGCGGUAAUAAUUAUCUGUAUUGAACAAUACGCACUUAAUGGUAAGUCAUCACACUUUUGUGGACUUUACAUACGCUACGAGAGUAACACAUACCCGUUCAGUUUUAUUAAACAAGCCAUAACUUAUAAUAAACCCC